rnacentral:lncRNA from 1 species
GUGAUCAUCUUUCCUCCCUGGGAGGCUGUGCAGGGAGGGCGUGGCUGGCACCUGGCUUCCCUGGGCUUCUUUCCCAGCUCCCUUAGCGGACGGCAGGUGCUCAGGAAACAGCCGCUGGAUCUGAUCGACUUCCGGCUCCCAGUGCUGGAUAAGGCCCUCCGCGUGGCGGCAGAGAACAGGCCCAGAACCAGAGCUGCGGGCCCACUGGGCAGGGGUUCAGGCAGGGGAGAGUGGGGUGUUUGGUCACCAGUGGCUGCUGGCUGUGGGUGGGACUGGUCGCUGUCCACAGCACCGCCAUAGGGCCUGGUCACGUGGGCGAGUGCGGGCUUCCUUACCCGUGGGUACAAGGUUCUGGAACAAGCAUCCUCCAAAGAACCAGAGGAAGCUUAACCACCAUCUCUGGCUUUUUCUCGGGCAUCACACAGCAUCAUUAACCCUCUAGUGACAAGCCCUCUUGAGUUAAGAAGGACUGUAGGCCCCUCAUCUUGAAGGAUAGGUUGGGGUCAGGGUCACAUUGUAAGACAUGUAUGAGAGAUGGAUGGUGCAGCUGCAGCCAUUUUGUGAUAAUAGGUCCUGCCUCAGGUGACUAGUGGGUAGGACAUUCAGUCUUUGAGGUGAUUUAUCCAGCCUUACUACAUACAGGUUUUCUAAAGUGUAUCAGGCAUCAGUAAAACUAGACAGAUGGACCUCAGAUUCAGAGCUGGAUCAGAAAUAUCUUUCCUGCAAAAUACUACAUCGUCCUGUGUGGCAGAACAAUAUCCUGGUGACCAAUGAAGCCAGAUGGGUGACAUGUCCUGGCCAUGAUGUCAGAUUUUGUAAGAUGAGAUCACUGUAAAGGGCACAUGGGGUUGGUGUUAUUUUUUAUGAAUCUGCAAUUAUUUGUCUAAAAUUUCCAAUUAGAAAAACGUGAAUCUAGGCUGCCUGGAUCUGCAUCUGCCUGUCUGCCCCAGGCUCCCCUGGAAAGCUGUCCAGAAGCCACAUGGGCACCACUGUGAUGUCAGCAGACAGAAUGCCGCAGAGGCUGGCUGUGAGCAGACGUCUGGGACACACGAGGCCUGGUGGGCACCACGGACCUUGGCCAGCUGCGGAGCCCCUCUGUGCAGGGGCCAGGGAGACACAGGAGGGGCUGUGCCCGCUUCGCAGAAGAGACACUGAGGCUCAGAAGUCAAGCUGUCACCACUCUUCGUAUUUACGGACGGGAAUUCUGGCGCAGUUCACCUCAGAAGCAGCUGGACCAGAAGAUGAAUUCAGGCCGCGUGGCACCUGUCAUGUAAAGAAAGGCCAGAGUGACCCCACCUGUACCAGUACCCCAGGUACAUCAUUCUGGGGUAGCUCCGUUCUGCUGACACCUUCACAGGUCUCAGAGACCAGAGUGUGGACAUCUUCAGGGUCCUUUACCAGCCACAGAAGUUUCCACAAGCCUGGAGGGGCCACUUUCCGGAAGCUUCCCUCUUAUUAUGAGUUGGAGUAAAAACAAAGGGAGAUCUGCAAGUGCCUGGCCUAGAGUCGAAGCCCUCUGGGGUCCUUUAGUUCUGUCAUCUAACGAGGCACAGACAGGGGAGCCCA